UACGUAGGGUGCAAGCGUUGUCCGGAAUUAUUGGGCGUAAAGAGCUCGUAGGCGGUUUGUUGCGUCGGCUGUGAAAUCCCGAGGCUCAACCUCGGGUCUGCAGUCGAUACGAGCAAACUAGAGUGUUGCAGGGGAGACUGGAAUUCCUGGUGUAGCGGUGAAAUGCGCAGAUAUCAGGAGGAACACCGGUGGCGAAGGCGGUUCUCUGGGCCUUACCUGACGCUGGAGGAAGCGAAAGCGUGGGGAGCGAACAGG
rnacentral:rRNA from 1 species